GAGGAAGUAAAAGUCGUAACAAGGUUUCCGUAGGUGAACCUGCGGAAGGAUCAUUACUGAAUUGUCAAACGGGUUGUUGCUGGCCCUCAUAGGGGGCAUGUGCACGCUCUGUUUACACAUCCACUCACACCUGUGCACCCUCUGUAGUUCUAUGGUUUGGGGGACCCUGUCUUCCUUCUGUGGUUCUACGUCUUUACACACACACUGUAAUAAAGUUUUAUGGAAUGUACAUCGCGUCUAACGCAAUACAAUACAACUUUCAGCAACGGAUCUCUUGGCUCUCGCAUCGAUGAAGAACGCAGCGAAAUGCGAUAAGUAAUGUGAAUUGCAGAAUUCAGUGAAUCAUCGAAUCUUUGAACGCACCUUGCGCCCCUUGGCUAUUCCGAGGGGCAUGCCUGUUUGAGUAUCAUGAACACCUCAACUCUCAUGGUUCGCCGUGAUGAGCUUGGACUCUGGGGGUUUUGCUGGCCUGUGGUCGGCUCCCCCCAAAUGAAUCAGCCUCCCAGUGUUUGGCGGCAUCACGGGUGUGAUAAAUAUCUACGCUCGCUGUUGUCUGCCAGGUAACCUUUGGUCACAAAGGUUUGCUGGAGCUCACAGAUGUCUCUCCUCAGCGAGGACAGCUUUUUUAACGUUCGAUC
rnacentral:rRNA from 1 species